AUUGAACGCUGGCGGCAGGCCUAACACAUGCAAGUCGAACGAGUGGCGGACGGGUGAGUAAUGUAUGGGAAACUGCCUGAUUGAGGGGGAGACCUACUGGAAACGGUAGCUAAUACCGCAUACCAUCGGAUGUGUCCAGAUGGGAUUAGCUAGUAGGUGGGGUAACGGCUCACCUAGGCGACGUUCCCUAUCUGGUCUGAGAGGAUGAAGAGCAACACCGGAACUGAGACACGGUCCAGACUCAUACGGGAGGCAGCAGUGGGGAAUAUUGCACAAUGGGCGCAAGCCUGAGGUGGCCAUGCCGCGUGGCUGAAGAAGGCCUUCGGGUUGUAAAGUACUUUUAGCGGGGAGGCGUUAUCAGAAGAAGAAGCACCGGCUAACUCCGUGCCAGCAGCCGCGGUAAUAC
rnacentral:rRNA from 1 species